GGAAGCAGGUGGAGGACACCGACUGUGACUCCUGGGGACUCCGGACAGCAGCCUGUGUUCUCACCUAGCUCC
ensembl:miRNA